UACGUAGGGCGCAAGCGUUGUCCGGAAUUAUUGGGCGUAAAGAGCUCGUAGGCGGCUUGUCACGUCGAUUGUGAAAGCCCGAGGCUUAACCUCGGGUCUGCAGUCGAUACGGGCUAGCUAGAGUGUGGUAGGGGAGAUCGGAAUUCCUGGUGUAGCGGUGAAAUGCGCAGAUAUCAGGAGGAACACCGGUGGCGAAGGCGGAUCUCUGGGCCAUUACUGACGCUGAGGAGCGAAAAGCAUGGGGAGCGAACAGG
rnacentral:rRNA from 1 species